CUUCAAUCUACUUAAAAUAAACUAAGGUCCCUGGCCUGCCAGGAAGUGAUUUUUUUUUUCUUUAUCAGCUGUGAAGCUGGAACCCUGUAAGAAAGACAGGGACCAACCUGAUUUUCCUGGGAUAGUUUUGUAGGCAUUAACUUCAUAUAUCAAGUCAAUCCUUGCACCUUGGUGGUAGGCUUGUCAUAGCUGAUUAAAUGGGCAUUACUUUUUACAUGACCCACAAACCAUGGAGUUUGUUGCAAAAUCAAUUUGAUGCAGGACAAGCAAGCCCCAAGUGCAGCUUAGCCCACAACAAUUCUUGGCUUUGACCAAGAAAAAAUUCAAAGGGAAGCCAGAAGCAGAAAAAAAACCAGCUUUAUUGCAGUAGCAGUGUUACAACUCCCUGACUGCUCCUGCAGAGCAAGUCUACCACACAGGCAGAGAGCAGCAGCUCAGGGCAGUUUUGCAGUCAUAUUUAUACCUACUCUUAAUUACAUGCAGAUUAAGGAGUGGUUUGUGCAGUAAUUUCUAGGGAAAGAGGAGUAACUUUGGAGACGUGAAGUCAUUGCCUUGGAAAGGGGCAGUAACUCCCUGGUGUUGCCAUGGCAGUGGUAGAACUGACACGGCACAUUGGUGGGCGUGUCUGAUGGAAAACUGCUUCCAUCUCUCUCUGUUUCAGAUGGUCCUCAAUUUGGUCCAGUGUCUGAGCUCUGCCUCUAGUCAAGUCUUGCCUCCUGAGUCAAGUUUGGCCUCCUACCUCAAAUUUGUCUAUUUAUAUCUUGAUAAGCUGUACAGGAAGCAUGGAUGGGGAGGCCUCAGGAAACUUACAAUCAUGGUGGAAGGCGAAGGAGAAGCAGCACAUCUUCACAUGGCCAAAGCAGGAAGAAGAGAGAGAGAUUGGAGGUGA
ensembl:lncRNA